rnacentral:lncRNA from 1 species
AUGUAGCACUGCUGAUGUUACGGUUAGUUGUUUGUUUCCUUUUGUAAGUUUCACUAAGUAAAAUAUGUGGAACUCAGAGCAUGCUGCGCCUUGGUCCGUCUUGCCACACAUCUGUGGCAGUAGCAAUGUAAUACCCAUCUUCGUUCAAAGUACAGCAUAGACAAUCAGUGACGUUAUUCUGCCUUCCGGAAUAGGGAAGUCACAUUUCUGUGAGCAAACCAACAAGUUACAGAAAAUGGAGAAGAUCCUGCUAGUGCUGGUACUAAUCUCCAGAGUGUCUCUCACAGUCUUGCAAUGGAAAGCAAGUUGGUCAGGAGGGCAAACUGAGAUGACCAUGGGAUUAAGAAUGCUGACAUCAUCCGGUGGGAAUCGCAGCUGGCCUGCUGGGACAGGGGCACAUCAGACAUGGAAGCACGUUACAAUAUAA